CCCUGAAGCAAACAGCUCGCAGUUCGCGCAUCGCACGCGAUUUGCAGUGAAAGCGUGAAAUUAAAAAUCACACAAGAACGAUUUCUCAUCGUGGGAAGACACUAAGUAACGAUCGAGACAGGUUCGGCCAAGAUCAUAAUGUAGACAAGUCCCAAGAAGUGUCAGAAAAAAAACAUUUCUAAUUUCGAGGAAAAACCGCCCGCUAGUUUAAACCACACAAAUAAGAAAUGAAAAUCCCUGCAGCAGCCGAAUAGUCCCGAAAGUUGCACCGUAAGUGAGUCAUACAAUAGCUAUCAAGAUGCCAUCUCGGCUCUCGAGGUCCGUCUGCACUGGCCAACAAAACCAUAUGUGACAUAUGUGGUAAGCGAUAUUUGAUGGGAGAGGAUCUUACACUCACACAGGCAAUAAACCGUUCGAAUGUGAUAAACGGUAUUCCCAGCGCGAGGGUCUUAUCUAUCACAAAAAUCUUCACAGCGGCGAACGAACGCACAAGCGUAAUAUAUGCGGUAAAUUAUUCCUUCGAAUAAAGAGACCUGGUACUUCACGAACAACGCACUCAUAGCACCGAAAAGCCGCACAAGUGCGACGUUUGUGACAGGUUUUUUUUUGAAAGAUUUUUUUGAAACAUUUCAAAGUGGCAUCCCUGCAUACAGGUGGGAUUUUUGCGGCAAGAAAUACUCAAGAUGUAGCGAAAUGAAUCAACACAAACAGAUUUAUUUGUACGUUAAUCUGUGCGCAACCUGCGGAAAAGGGUUCCUACAAAGUGAACAUAUUGCGCUGCACCAGCAAGAAAACAAAACCAAGACGCAAAAGGAAGCGGCAGCUGACAGGGCUGUAGUGUCUUGAAACCUAGUGACCAAAUGUGGUUUUAUGAAGUAAUCAUGUCUCUUCCCCACCAGCAGGGGAAUCCCGACUAGAGCACUCUAGUUAGACUGUGGCCAAGAGGCCAUGACGUAUCCAAACGAACAUGAAAUUUGACAUUUCUA